ACGCUGGCGGCAGGCCUAACACAUGCAAGUCGAGCGGUAGCACGGGAGAGCUUGCUCUCUGGGUGACGAGCGGCGGACGGGUGAGUAAUGUCUGGGAAACUGCCUGAUGGAGGGGGAUAACUACUGGAAACGGUAGCUAAUACCGCAUGACCUCGCAAGAGCAAAGUGGGGGACCUUCGGGCCUCACGCCAUCGGAUGUGCCCAGAUGGGAUUAGCUAGUAGGUGGGGUAAUGGCUCACCUAGGCGACGAUCCCCAGCUGGUCUGAGAGGAUGACCAGCCACACUGGAACUGAGACACGGUCCAGACUCCUACGGGAGGCAGCAGUGGGGAAUAUUGCACAAUGGGCGCAAGCCUGAUGCAGCCAUGCCGCGUGUGUGAAGAAGGCCUUAGGGUUGUAAAGCACUUUCAGCGAGGAGGAAGGCGUUGUAGUUAAUAGCUGCAACGAUUGACGUUACUCGCAGAAGAAGCACCGGCUAACUCCGUGCCAGCAGCCGCGGUAAUACGGAGGGUGCGAACGUUAAUCGGAAUUACUGGGCGUAAAGCGCACGCAGGCGGUUUGUUAAGUCAGAUGUGAAAUCCCCGAGCUUAACUUGGGAACUGCAUUUGAAACUGGCAAGCUAGAGUCUUGUAGAGGGGGGUAGAAUUCCAGGUGUAGCGGUGAAAUGCGUAGAGAUCUGGAGGAAUACCGGUGGCGAAGGCGGCCCCCUGGACAAAGACUGACGCUCAGGUGCGAAAGCGUGGGGAGCAAAC
rnacentral:rRNA from 1 species